CAUUAAAAAGUUAAUUGUUUAAUCAAUUUAAUUUGAAUUUAAUAAAUUAUUAUUUUAUAUAAAAAAAAUAAUUUUUUGUUUUAUUAUUUAAUAAGAAAAAAUUUUUAUUAUUAUAGUUUAUUAGUAUUGUGAAAGAAAUUUUAAAUAAAUGAAAUUUAAAAUUAUUUAAAGAAGAAUUUAUUGUUUGUACCUUGUGUAUCAGGGUUUAUUAAAUUAAAAUUAAUUAUUUAAUUUUCUCGAUUUUAAAAGAGCUAAAAAAUUAUAAAUUUUAUUGUUUAAUAAAUAUUUAAAAUAAUUUUUUUGUAAUGAAACGUUAUUCGUUUUUAAAUAUAUCUAGUUUUUUAAGAAAAGAAUUUAAUUCUAUAGUUAAUUUUUUUUUUUUUAAAAAAUUAAUGUUAAAUUAACUAUAAAAAAAUUAGGGGAUAAGCUUUAAUUUUAAAUUUUAAAAAUUAAUUUAUUUAAUUUAUUGUAGGAUUAAAAAUUUUCAUCAAUAAUAAUUUGUUAUAAUUAAAAUUUUAUAUAAUAUAAUUUUUAUAAUUUUAAUUUUUUUAUUAAAAUUAUUUAAUUAAUUAAUAAUUAAAUUUAUUAAUGAUAAAAUUAGUAUAAAUUAUUGUAUGAUUAAUUUUAAACUUUAGGUUAAAUUAAGGAAUUCGGCAAAAUAAUUUUUCGCCUGUUUAUUAAAAACAUGUCUUUUUGAUUAUAAUUUAAAGUCUUGCCUGCCCACUGAUUUUUAAAUGGCCGCAGUAUUUUGACUGUGCUAAGGUAGCAUAAUAAUUAGUUUUUUAAUUGAAAGCUGGAAUGAAUGGUUAAACGAAAAAAUUUCUGUCUCAAUUUAAUUUUUUUAGAAUUUUAUUUUUGAGUAAAAAAGCUUAAAUAGUUUUAAAAGACGAGAAGACCCUAUAGAGUUUUAUAUUUAAAUUUAAAUUUAAUUUUUAAUUUUUUUUAUUUAAUUUUAAUUAUUUUAUUGGGGUGAUAUAAAAAUUUUAUAAACUUUUUAUAAAUUAUUACAUUGAUUUAUGGUUUUAUGAUCCAAUAUUAUUGAUUAUAAGAUUAAAUUACCUUAGGGAUAACAGCGUAAUUUUUUUUAAGAGUUCUUAUCAAAAAAAAAGAUUGCGACCUCGAUGUUGGAUUAAAAUUAAUUUUUGGUGUAGAAGCUAAAAAUUUUGGUCUGUUCGACCAUUAAAAUUUUACAUGAUCUGAGUUUAAACCGGUGUGAGCCAGGUUGGUUUCUAUCUUUAAAAAUGUUAAAUAUUUUAGUACGAAAGGACCAAAUAUUUAUAUUAAAUAUUAUAAUUGAAUAAUAUUGUUAUUUUGGCAGAUUAGUGCUUUAAAUUUAGAAUUUAAUUAUGGAUAUUUAUUGUUCAAAUAA
rnacentral:rRNA from 1 species